rnacentral:rRNA from 1 species
UUCCGAUGGGGUGACCUGCGGAAGGAUCAUUAUCGUAGGGCUUCGGCCCUGUCGAGAUAGAACCCUUGCCUUUUUGAGUACCUUUUCGUUUCCUCGGCAGGCUCGCCUGCCAAUGGGGACCCCAACAAACACUUUGCAGUACCUGUAAACAGUCUGAACAAACUUUUAAAAAUUAAAACUUUCAACAACGGAUCUCUUGGUUCUGGCAUCGAUGAAGAACGCAGCGAAAUGCGAUAAGUAGUGUGAAUUGCAGAAUUCAGUGAAUCAUCGAAUCUUUGAACGCACAUUGCGCCCUUUGGUAUUCCUUAGGGCAUGCCUGUUCGAGCGUCAUUGAAACCUUCAAGCUCAGCUUGGUGUUGGGUGACUGUCCGCUUGCGGACUCGCCUCAAAAUGAUUGGCGGCCGGUACUUUUGGCUUCGAGCGCAGCAGAAACGCGAACUCGAGGCCUGUGUGCUGGCUCCCAGAAGCUAUCUUCACAAUUUUGACCUCGGAUCAGGUAGGGAUACCCGCUGAACUUAAGCAUAUCAAAAGCCCGGAGGAA